UGCCCUAGCAGCGUGAACAGUACUGUGGUAUUUGGUGUCUGGAGUAUUGUUUCCGCUGCCCGGGUA
ensembl:miRNA